UUGCAAAUUCAAAGUGAACUCUUCAAUGUUAAGUUUGAUGGUUGGAAUUUCACAUGAAUCCUCAUUGAAGGCAUCCUCUAUAUCACUUAGGUAUACUUGUGAGCAUUCUGGCUCUGGAGAUGUCGGCUCUUCAAUGAUAGGGAGAGGCAACCGCAACUGAUUGAUGAGUACUGAUGGAUUCUGAUCAGUCGCACUAUUUCCAGCUGUGGUAACUAUACUCUUCUGCUCUGGUCCAGGCAGGGCAAGCCUUGCACUGCAUGCAAUAUAGUAUUCAACUGUUAUCUAAGUAGCAUUUUGAUGAGAAUAUAAUGCAAUGAGUGCUGUCAUCAUUAUAAUGAGUUAGCUAGUGUUGUAUUACUGGGUACAUGAACUUUGUAUUCCUAGCAUUCUGUCUCUCAAGUUCCUUACCUAUUGUUCCAACAAAGUUACAUGCAGUGCCUUGUAGAGUUCUAACUUACGAGUAAUGACUUCUGAAUGAUGCUGUACAAUGAUUUAUCUUUUCAUGCAAAGAAUUUAAAUAUAUUAUAUCCA